CACCCACAGCAACCAUGACUUUGAUCAGCGUCUUCAUCUGCACACUGGCCCUCUGGACUCAAGGAUCCAGAGGUCAGGUGACUGUGACUCAGACUCCUUCAGUGCAAACUGUUGUUCCAGGAAACACAGUCACUAUCAACUGUAAAACCAGUAGCAGAGUGGAUAGUGGUAACUACCUGCACUGGUACCUGCAGAAACCUGGAGAAGCUUCUAAACUCCUGAUCUACAGGGCUACAAGCGUACAGUCAGGAACUCCAGCUCGUUUCAGUGGCAGUGGAUCGAAUACUGACUUCACUCUGACCAUCAGUGGAGUCCAGACUGAAGAUGCAGGAGAUUACUACUGUCAGAGUUUACAUAAGAUCACUGGUAACUGGGUGAUCACACAGUGUUAG